AUAUUAAUUUCACCGAUAGAUUAGAUUUGUAAGUUUGUAGAUGUAAUAAU
rnacentral:guide_RNA from 1 species